CCGCAGGCAAGCACGCUCAGCCCCCCUGCGGGCUUGCCCAGCGCCGGGGCCCGGAUCCUCCCCCGGGCCCCGGAUUCG
rnacentral:sRNA from 1 species